AGCACUUCGGUGCGAGUACAGCGGCGGACGGGUGAGUAACGCGUAGGAAUCUACCUAGUAGUGGGGGACAACAUGUGGAAACGCAUGCUAAUACCGCAUACGCCCUAUGGGGGAAAGCAGGGGAUCUUCGGACCUUGCGCUAUUGGAUGAGCCUGCGUCAGAUUAGCUAGUUGGUGGGGUAAUGGCCUACCAAGGCAACGAUCUGUAGCUGGUCUGAGAGGAUGACCAGCCACACUGGAACUGAGACACGGUCCAGACUCCUACGGGAGGCAGCAGUGGGGAAUAUUGGACAAUGGGCGCAAGCCUGAUCCAGCCAUGCCGCGUGUGUGAAGAAGGCUCUAGGGUUGUAAAGCACUUUCAGUAGGGAGGAAAAGUUAGUAGUUAAUAUCUGCUAACCCUGACGUUACCUACAGAAGAAGCACCGGCAAACUCCGUGCCAGCAGCCGCGGUAAUACGGAGGGUGCGAGCGUUAAUCGGAAUUACUGGGCGUAAAGCGCGCGUAGGCGGUUUGAUAAGCUGGAUGUGAAAGCCCUGGGCUCAACCUGGGAACUGCAUCCAGAACUGUCUGACUAGAGUACAGUAGAGGUGAGUGGAAUUUCCUGUGUAGCGGUGAAAUGCGUAGAUAUAGGAAGGA
rnacentral:rRNA from 1 species